GACGAACGCUGGCGGCGUGCUUAACACAUGCAAGUCGAGCGGUAAGGCCCUUUCGGGGGUACACGAGCGGCGAACGGGUGAGUAACACGUGGGUGACCUGCCCUCAGCUCUGGGAUAAGCCUGGGAAACCGGGUCUAAUACUGGAUAUGACUCCAUGACGCAUGUUGUGGGGUGGAAAGCCUUGUGCGGCUGAGGAUGGGCCCGCGGCCUAUCAGCUUGUUGGUGGGGGAUGGCCUACCAAGGCGACGACGGGUAGCCGGCCUGAGAGGGCGACCGGCCACACUGGGACUGGGACACGGCCCAGACUCCUACGGGAGGCAGCAGUGGGGAAUCUUGCGCAAUGGGCGAAAGCCUGACGCAGCGACGCCGCGUGAGGGAUGACGGCCU
rnacentral:rRNA from 1 species